UGCCUGUGAUGAUUUGCCAUGCUAAUACUGACGCUGCAGCCGUGAACGUGUAGUUUGUGGGCUGCCUGCGAAUGAGUGCAAGAUGACUUACUGAGGCUG